UGGGGAAUUUUGGACAAUGGGCGAAAGCCUGAUCCAGCAAUGCCGCGUGUGUGAAGAAGGCCUUCGGGUUGUAAAGCACUUUUGUCCGGAAAGAAAUCCUUGGCUCUAAUACAGUCGGGGGAUGACGGUACCGGAAGAAUAAGCACCGGCUAACUACGUGCCAGCAGCCGCGGUAAUACGUAGGGUGCAAGCGUUAAUCGGAAUUACUGGGCGUAAAGCGUGCGCAGGCGGUUUGCUAAGACCGAUGUGAAAUCCCCGGGCUCAACCUGGGAACUGCAUUGGUGACUGGCAGGCUAGAGUAUGGCAGAGGGGGGUAGAAUUCCACGUGUAGCAGUGAAAUGCGUAGAGAUGUGGAGGAAUACCGAUGGCGAAGGCAGCCCCCUGGGGCCAAUACUGACGCUCAUGCACGAAAGCGUGGGGGAGCAAACAGGAUUAGAUACCCUGGGUAGUCCACGCCCUAAACGAUGUCAACUAGUUGUUGGGGAUUCAUUUCCUUAGUAACGUAGCUAACGCGUGAAGUUGACCGCCU
rnacentral:rRNA from 1 species